CUCCAUUUGUUUCGUCCAAGAUGUUGCCAAUCGACCGCAGAAUUAAGGGAGUAAAAGCUGAUGGUGAUCACAGAGCCACACAUAUGCAUCCCUGGUGGCGCUCGCGUAUUAGUUCUGUUGCACCAAUCUCUUCCUGCUGUCCGAUCUGUCGCGAAACACCCUAAUGUACUGCAACUCUUUGUCCCUGGAUAUAGACUUUGAACAAUCGCGUUAAAGUCUCAGUGGCGUCCUGUGUUACGCCCAAUGGGGGAAGAAAAAGCGGCGAAAAAAUAACAGCGGAAUAAUGAAAAGUGGUCGCAAAGGCACAAAUCCAUAAGUGUGUACAUCGAUUCACAAACAUUUAUAUACUUAUAAUAAAAUGACUAUCUUAGCUUAAA